GGACGAACGCUGGCGGCGUGCUUAACACAUGCAAGUCGAGCGGUAAGGCCCUUCGGGGUACACGAGCGGCGAACGGGUGAGUAACACGUGGGUGAUCUACCCUGUACUUCGGGAUAAGCCUGGGAAACUGGGUCUAAUACCGGAUAUGACCUCUGGGUGCAUGCCUGGGGGUGGAAAGAUUUAUCGGUACAGGAUGGGCCCGCGGCCUAUCAGCUUGUUGGUGGGGUAAUGGCCUACCAAGGCGACGACGGGUAGCCGGCCUGAGAGGGCGACCGGCCACACUGGGACUGAGACACGGCCCAGACUCCUACGGGAGGCAGCAGUGGGGAAUAUUGCACAAUGGGCGGAAGCCUGAUGCAGCGACGCCGCGUGAGGGAUGACGGCCUUCGGGUUGUAAACCUCUUUCGACAGGGACGAAGCGCAAGUGACGGUACCUGUAGAAGAAGCACCGGCCAACUACGU
rnacentral:rRNA from 1 species